GGCUGAGUAACACGUGGGGGUUAUCCUACCCUCGAUUCUGGGAUAGCCCGGGAAACCCGGAUUAAUACCGAGAUAGCCUCUUCGGUCUUCGGACUGUCGAGAAAAGGUAGCUUCAGGCCUCCGAUCGAGGACGAGCCCUGCGGCGGAUUAGCUUGUUGGCGGGGUGAAGCGGCCCACCAAGGCGACCGGAAUCCGUAGCUGGUCUGUAGAGGACCACCAGCCGACAUUGGGCACUGAGCCAGGUAAAAAAUCUAUACGGAGCAGCAGUGGGGAAUCUUGCGCAAUGGGCGAAAGCCUGACGCAGCGACGCCGCGUGAGGGAAGAAGGCCUUCGGGUUGUAAACCUCUUUCAGUAGGGACGAAGCUACUCGGGUUAAUAGCCCAGAGGGUGACGGUACCUACAGAAGAAGCCCCGGCUAAUCUACGUGCCUAGCAGCCGCGG
rnacentral:rRNA from 1 species